CACGUAGGGCGCAAGCGUUGUCCGGAAUUAUUGGGCGUAAAGAGCUCGUAGGCGGUCUGUUGCGUCCGCUGUGAAAACCCGGGGCUUAACCCCUGGCUUGCAGUGGAUACGGACAGACUAGAGGUAGGUAGGGGAGAAUGGAAUUCCCGGUGUAGCGGUGAAAUGCGCAGAUAUCGGGAGGAACACCGGUGGCGAAGGCGGCGACCUGGGUCGAGACUGACGCUGAGGCGCGAAAGCGUGGGGAGCAAACAGG
rnacentral:rRNA from 1 species